rnacentral:misc_RNA from 1 species
UGGAAGUAAAAGUCGUAACAAGGUCUCCGUUGGUGAACCAGCGGAGGGAUCAUUACAGAGUUACUACUCCAAACCCAUUGUGAACCUUACCUAUGUUCUGUUGCCUCGGCGGCGUGGUCAGCGCCCCCUCUGAAAAGAGGACGAUGCCCUCCCGCCGGCAGCACCAAACUCUUUGAAUUUUACAGCGGAUUACAGUUCUGAUUUGAAAACAAAAAACAAGUUAAAACUUUCAACAACGGAUCUCUUGGUUCUGGCAUCGAUGAAGAACGCAGCGAAAUGCGAUAAGUAAUGUGAAUUGCAGAAUUCAGUGAAUCAUCGAAUCUUUGAACGCACAUUGCGCCCGGCAGUAAUCUGCCGGGCAUGCCUGUCCGAGCGUCAUUUCAACCCUCGAACCUCCGUUUCCUCAGGGAAGCUCAGGGUCGGUGUUGGGGCGCUACGGCGAGUCUUCGCGACCCUCCGUAGGCCCUGAAAUACAGUGGCGGUCCCGCCGCGGUUGCCUUCUGCGUAGUAAGUCUCUUUUGCAAGCUCGCAUUGGGUCCCGGCGGAGGCCUGCCGUCAAACCACCUAUAACUCCAGAUGGUUUGACCUCGGAUCAGGUAGGGUUACCCGCUGAACUUAAGCAUAUCAAUAAGCGGAGGA